rnacentral:rRNA from 1 species
GAUAAACGCUGGCGGCGCACAUAAGACAUGCAAGUCGAACGGACUUAACUCAUUCUUUUAGAUUGAGAGCGGUUAGUGGCGGACUGGUGAGUAACACGUAAGCAACCUGCCUAUUAGAGGGGAAUAACAGUGAGAAAUCAUUGCUAAUACCGCAUAUGCCAUGAACAUCACAUGAUGAAAAUGGGAAAAGAGUAAUCUGCUAGUAGAUGGGCUCGCGUCUGAUUAGAUAGUUGGUGGGGUAACGGCCUACCAAGUCGACGAUCAGUAGCCGGACUGAGAGGUUGAACGGCCACAUUGGGACUGAGAUACGGCCCAG